UCUUAUCGAUAAUGAUAAAUCUUGUAUUAUUGAUUUGGAUUAUCGAUUAGGUACCAAAUUACUGCUCCAAUUUCAAUACCUUCACAGAUGGCAUACAACAUCAAAUUUUUUAAAGAUGUAAAUAAAUUGAUUUUUGAUUUAUUUAAUAAGUAAAUGAUCAUUUCGAGUUUAACUAACGUAGUCAAAAAGAAAGACGAGUUAUCGUACGUGUGACGACAAGCUUGUGUGCGUAUAUAAGACGUUUCAAAACAAUUUCAAUUUGCAAGUAAGAAAAUAUUCAUCUAAUUUUAUCCAAUCGAUUAACGAUACUUUUCUAAUGACUCUCUUAAACUCAUAUUAUAAAAUUUUAUAUAAGAUAUAAUACUCUACAAUUUGAUAAUUAUCUUAUUUAUCAUGUUUUUUUAUUUAUAAAAAUAUUUACAUUUUUAUAUGGUCACGUCUAACCUACAAGACUGCAAUUGCUCAGCCAAUCAGCGUUAUUUCCAUGGCGUCCAUGUUGAAGAUCAUGAGGAAGUUUCGUCGUCCUGUUAAUUUCAGGUUUCCGAGUUUGGAAGAAUACAGCACAAAACACAUAAUCUUAUAAAAUUGUGUUUCCUUUUGUAUUUUCUUCAUAUUUGUCGAGGAGAUUCUCCAGUCAAGAUCGAAACAAAGAAACAAACAUUGGACACACUGCAUUCAACAGAGAAAGAGAAAGAGAGGGAGAGAUAGAUCUAGCUUCUUCUUCCGUCCUUCAACACGUUAAAACAAACAAAAGUGAUGUAUUAAAUUAUUGAAUAAUUUUAAUUAUUUUAAUUUUAAUAAAAAAUGGU
rnacentral:lncRNA from 1 species